rnacentral:rRNA from 1 species
CAUGCAAGUGCGAGCGCCCCGCAAGGGGAGCGGCAGACGGGUGAGUGACGCGUGGGAACGUACCAUUUGCUACGGAAUAACUCAGGGAAACUUGUGCUAAUACCGUAUGAGCCCGAAAGGGGAAAGAUUUAUCGGCAAAUGAUCGGCCCGCGUUGGAUUAGCUAGUUGGUGGGGUAAAGGCCUACCAAGGCGACGAUCCAUAGCUGGUCUGAGAGGAUGAUCAGCCACACUGGGACUGAGACACGGCCCAGACUCCUACGGGAGGCAGCAGUGGGGAAUAUUGGACAAUGGGCGCAAGCCUGAUCCAGCCAUGCCGCGUGAGUGAUGAAGGCCCUAGGGUUGUAAAG